UAGUUGGUCAAACAGCCGCCAUUAAACUCCAGAAGAUUUCCACCGGUGCCAACGAGUGCUACUGCUAAACAUGAACGAAAAUGCCCGUUUGUUGUGUAAAAUGGUGGAAAAAGUCCUAUUUCACGGAGUUACCUUUUUUCAGUAUCGUUUUGAUACUAAGCAAUGUCCCGGCGGAAAACAACAGAUGACACCCCGGCGGUACAACAAGACUAACUCACGACCUGAAAAAUGGCCAAGCCGUACCAGCCAGACCUCAGACCACGGUGCCGAGGAGCUCUGAGUCCACCAGGACCAAGAGAAAUUCAGUAAGUUAUGAUUUCACAUUUAGUGAAUAGUGAACAUUCACAUAUUUGUAAGGAAACUGAUCUUCCGGUUAUUUUAUUUAUUUUGUUAUAACGCAGUACAGCAAGGCAGAGUGUGGUAAACAGUAGAGAUCUACAAAAUGGCGGAUGGAGGACGGAUGUGAGGACGAAGCCAUGAAGCCGACUCCACAGAAUGAUUCACGUUUGUGUCAAUCAGACUCUUCAGGAACGUUCUGAYGUCCGUGAUGAGGACAGAGAUGCAACUGUGUCUGCAUCCAGGACCUACAGCCAGUCAUCCAGAUGUAGCU